rnacentral:lncRNA from 1 species
UACAUACAUACAUACAUACAUACAUACAUACUUCUUCCCUAGUGCCGCUCCGAGGUUGUAGGGUGCUGGAGAGUGCGGGUCUGGGACCUAGUGGUGCAUACUCGAGUGGCCUCCCUCCCCAGGUCGACCUGGCCCGAAUGGGUCAGGACACACCUCGACCCAUCAACCCCAGCACCCACGCGGGACAGGUCAGCGACCCUGGCAGCCCUUAAGACGCUACAUGGCG